GGUAGUCCACGCCGUAAACGAUGUCGACUUGGAGGUUGUGCCCUUGAGGCGUGGCUUCCGGAGCUAACGCGUUAAGUCGACCGCCUGGGGAGUACGGCCGCAAGGUUAAAACUCAAAUGAAUUGACGGGGGCCCGCACAAGCGGUGGAGCAUGUGGUUUAAUUCGAUGCAACGCGAAGAACCUUACCUACUCUUGACAUCCAGAGAACUUAGCAGAGAUGCUUUGGUGCCUUCGGGAACUCUGAGACAGGUGCUGCAUGGCUGUCGUCAGCUCGUGUUGUGAAAUGUUGGGUUAAGUCCCGCAACGAGCGCAACCCUUAUCCUUUGUUGCCAGCGGUUAGGCCGGGAACUCAAAGGAGACUGCCAGUGAUAAACUGGAGGAAGGUGGGGAUGACGUCAAGUCAUCAUGGCCCUUACGAGUAGGGCUACACACGUGCUACAAUGGCGCAUACAAAGAGAAGCGACCUCGCGAGAGCAAGCGGACCUCAUAAAGUGCGUCGUAGUCCGGAUUGGAGUCUGCAACUCGACUCCAUGAAGUCGGAAUCGCUAGUAAUCGUAGAUCAGAAUGCUACGGUGAAUGCGUUCCCGGGCCUUGUACACACCGCCCGUCACACCAUGGGAGUGGGUUGCAAAAGAAGUAGGUAGCUUAACCUUCGGGAGGGCGCUUACCACUUUGUGAUUCAUGACUGGGGUGAAGUCGUAACAAGGUAACCGUAGGGGAACCUGC
rnacentral:rRNA from 1 species